ACUGAAUUCUCGUGGGUCUGCA
rnacentral:miRNA from 4 species